rnacentral:rRNA from 1 species
GUCUGGGAAACUGCCUGAUGGAGGGGGAUAACUACUGGAAACGGUAGCUAAUACCGCAUAACGUCGCAAGACCAAAGAGGGGGACCUUCGGGCCUCUUGCCAUCGGAUGUGCCCAGAUGGGAUUAGCUAGUAGGUGGGGUAACGGCUCACCUAGGCGACGAUCCCUAGCUGGUCUGAGAGGAUGACCAGCCACACUGGAACUGAGACACGGUCCAGACUCCUACGGGAGGCAGCAUG